rnacentral:lncRNA from 1 species
UCUCCAUUCAUCCACAUGGCUACUGGCUGUGCUUUGCUACCACCGGACAUAUCUUGAAGAUUGCCCAUUAUUUCGUUUUUGUAAGGACCCAAAAAACAGAGGCAGUGUUAGCUAUUCACAGAGAUGUUUGUUUCUGUCAGCGCGAUGCGUGAAGAAACCAGGUGGCUGUACCGACUCUGAUAACGUAUCCCGAGUGAACCAUGUUUCCGUGAAGCAGAGAAUGUUGCAAUCUCUGAUGUCUCUCUGGAAGGCAACCCUUGCUCGGAUUUUGUCUACCUUGUUGUCAAGAGACUGGACAUUGGCAAGUAGUAUACUCGGGAGUGGUGGGCGAUGUGCCCGUCUACGGAGCCUGACCAGAAGACCGCUCCAUCUGCCCCUUCUGCGGAGCCGUUGUUUUGGGUCGCCUGCUGGGAUCCGAUCCAUUGUCCUGGGUGGUGGACCAAACAGAGGAUCCGCUUCAGGAAAGUCGUAUUCCUGGUCAUAAUGUUGGUAAGUUGACGUUGCUCUUAUAUCCAAUAGUUCCUCCCGGCUGUAUGUAAUAAGACUUAAGAUUUCCUGGGGUAACAGUGUAAGAAAUAAUACAUAAAAAAACAAAAUACUGCAUAGUUUCCUAAGAACACGAAGCGAGGCGGCCAUCUCUGUCAGCGCCGAAUGUUGAUUCAUCCUUGAUGUUUCUACAACUUGAUUGGAGUCCACCUGUGGUAAAUUCAAUUGAUUGGACAUGAUUUGGAAAAGCACACACCUGUCUAUAUAAGGUCUGACAGUUGACAGUGCAUGUCAGAGCAAAAACCAAGCCAUGAGGUCGAAAGAAUUGUCCGUAGAGCUCUGAGACAGGAUUGUGUUGAGGAACAGAUUUGGGGAAGGGUUCCAAAAAAUGAAGGACAUUGAAGAACCCCAAGAACACCGUGGACUCAAUCAUUCUUAAAUGGAAGAAGUUUGGAACCACCAAGACUCUUCCUAGAGCUGGCCACCUGGCCAUACUGAGCAAUCGGGAAAGAAGGGACUUGGUCAGGGAGGUGACCAAGAACCCGAUGGUCACUCUGACAGAGCUCCAGAGUUCCUCUGCAGCACUCCACCAAUCAUUUCUGCAGCACUCCACCAAUCAGGCCUUUAUGGUAGAGUGGCCAGACAGAAGCCAUUCUUCAGUAAAAGGCACAUGACAGCCCGCUUGGAGUUUGCCAAAAGCCACCUUGUAUUUUUGUAUUUUAUUUAUCUAACCAGAAAAAUAUUGUAAACUGUCAUGGUCAAAACAUAUUAAUUGAGUGGUUGUAAAGAUGGAGAGAGAUCUGUCCAUGAUAAAGAUAAUGCUCUGCUUUUUUUGACACCACACUCCACAAAGAAAGCUCUAGUUUUAUCUUAUCUUGAUUAUUGCCCAGUCAGGUGCUGCAAAGGACACAGAAAAACUGCAGCUGGCCCAGAACAGAGCGGCACGUCUUGCCCUUCACUGUAAUCAGAGGGCUAAUAUCAAUACUAUACACACCAGUCUCUCUUGGCUAAAAGUGACUGCAUCACUUUUUUUCAUAAGAAACAAUGUGUUGAAAAUUCAAAAGUCUUUGCAUUGUCCACUCACACAUAGCUCUGACACACACACUUAGCCUACCCAACAUGCCACUAGGGGUCCUUUCAGUCCUAAAUCCAGAACAAAUUAAAGAAACAUACAGUAUUAUAUACAGCCAUGAUUGCAUGGAUCUCUCUUUCAUCUCAAAUUGCUCAAGUGAACAGCAAACCUGUUUAAAAAAAAAAGAUUAAUGAACAUCUCAUGGCACAGCGCCUCUCCCCUAUUUGACGUAGAUAUUUUGUGUGUAUGUACUCAUAUGUAGUCUGUGUGACGUUUUAAAUGUAUGUAGUUCUGUCCAUGAGCUGUUGUUCUCUAUUAAUGUUCUGUAUUGUGUCAUGUUUUGUGUGGACCCCAGGAAAAGAACCUGAUGCUUUUGCAAAAGCUAAUGGGGAUCCUAAUAAAAUACCAAUACCAAUAAAACUCAAGCCACACUGCUACGAUUUCUCCCCAUUGUGGACAAUCCUGUGUCUGAUAAGGAUACUCAAGAAGGAGAAGCUCUUGUAAGAUACACUAUAUAUACAAAGGUAUGUGGACACCCCUUCAAAUUAGUGGAUUCGGCUUUUUCAGCCACACCCGUUGCUGACAGGUGUAUAACUUCGAGCACACAUCCAUGCAAUCUCCAUUGUGGAAGGACCACCAGUGGGCAGGCUGGUCCCACAGAUAGUAGCCCAGUCCGGCAUGUGAGUCAAGGUGAUCAGAGGCAAUUAAGCACAGCUGACGGUAUGAAUGACCUAUUCUCUUCCCCCUACAAGAGAGAGGAGGGAACCGGCAGUGGAGGAGAAAAAAAGUGAUUGCUUCUCCAAAGGAGAGGAUUUACCGGACAGGAGGGAGAAGAAGAGGACAAACUACCUCUUGGGAUUGGCAACCAUGGAUCCGCACCACCACCCGAAGGAGGAAAGUGAGGAAAACGAAAAUCUACCUGUCGACACAGUGGAACCAUUCAAGAAAGUUGAAUAAUGCUCUACUACAACAGUUGAUCACGGCACAGCAGACAACCAUAGAACUCAUGCAACAACAGCUGAGCCGGCAAGAAUAACCGAGAGUGAAGCCGAGAGUGGCUGCUCACGACAUCUUACCUCGCCUCUCAAAUGAGGAUGAUAUUGAGGCUUUCAUCAUGAUGUUCGAAAGGACGGCCACCUUGGAAGAGUGGCCCCCCACAGAAUGGGCGAGCGCAUUAGCCCCUCUUUUGACUGGGACAGCCCAGGAAGCCUACUAUGACCUGGACCCCCGCGAAGCUGCUGACUAUGAGCGACUAACAACCGAGAUUCUGUCCCGGUACCAGCUGACCGCCCGAGAUAGAGCUGUAAAGUUCCAUCAAUGGACCUAUAUGGCCGACCAACCCGUGCGUGCCCAGAUCUUCGCACUCAUAUGACUAACGAAACAGUAGCUGGAACCCGGAAAGGGAGUAGGACAUGUCGUAGAGACUCUCGUAGUGGACAAGAUUUUGAGGGAAUUACCCAUGGACUUAAAAGGGUCGUGGGGCGAACAAACCUGUUGUCAGCCGACAACAUAGCCCAGGCCAUGGAAACUAAAGGUCGACCGAUUAUGAUUUUUCAAUACCGAUACCGAUUAUUGGAGGACCAAAAUAAGCCGAUACCGAUUUAAUCGGCCGGUUUUUAUUUUAUUUAUUUGUAAUAAUGACAAUUACAACAAUACUGAAUGAACACCUAUUUUAACUUAAUAUAAUACAUCAAUAAAAUCAAUUUAGCCUCAAAUAAAUAAUGAAACAUGUUCAAUUUGGUUUAAAUAAUGCAAAAACAAAGUUUUGGAGAAGAAAGUAAAAGUGCAUUAUGUGCCAUGUAAGAAAGCUAAUGUUUAAGUUCCUUGCUCAGAACAUGAGAACAUAUGAAAGCUGGUGGUUCCUUUUAACACGAGUCUUCAAUAUUCCCAGGUAAGAAGUUUUAGGUUGUAGUUAUUAUAGGAAUUAUAAGACUAUUUCUCUCUAUAUGAUUUGUAUUUCAUAUACCUUUGACUAUUGGAUGUUCUUAUAGGCACUUUAGUAUUGCCAGUGUAACAGUAUAGCUUCCGUCCCUCUCCUCGCUCCUACCUGGGCUCAAACCAGGAACACAUCGACAAAAGCCACCCUUGAAGCAGCGUUACCCAUGCAGAGUAAGGGAAACAACUACUCCAAGUCUCAGAGCGAGUGACGUUUGAAACGCUACUAGCGCGCACCCCGGUAACUAGCUAGCUAUUUCACAUCGGUUACACCAACCUCAUCUUGGUAGUUGACAGGCUUGAAGUCAUAAACAGCGCAAUGCAUUGCGAAGAGCUGCUGGCAAAACGCAGUAAAGUGCUGUUUUGAAUUAAUGCUUACGAUCCUGCUGCUGCCUACCAUCGCUCAGUCAGACUGCUCUAUGAAAUCAUAGACUUAAUUAUAACAUAAUAACACACAGAACCACGAGCCUUAGGUCAUUAAUACGGUCAAAUCCGGAAACUAUCACGUUCAUUCUUUCAGUGAAAUACGGAACCGUUCCGUAUUUUAUCUAACGGGUGGCAUCCAUAAGUCUAAAUAUUCCUGUUACAUUGAACAACCUUCAAUGUUAUGUCAUAAUUACGUAAAAUUCUGGAAAAUUAGUUCGCAACGAGCCAGGCAGCCCAAACUGCUGCAUAUACCCUGACUCUGUUGCAGAGGUGACACAUUUUCCCUAGUUAAAAGAAAUUCAUGUUAGCAGGCAAUAUUAACUAAAUAUGCAGGUUUAAAAAUAUAUACUUGUGUAUUGAUUUUAAGAAAGACAUUGAUGUUUAUGGUUAGGUACAAGUUGGAGCAACCUUUUUCGCGAAUGCGCACCGCAUCGAUUAUAUGUAACGCAGGACAGGCUAGAUAAACUAGUAAUAUCAUCAACCAUGUGUAGUUAACUAGUGAUUAUGAUUGAUUGAUUGUUUUUUAUAAGAUAAGUUAAAUGCUAGCUAGCAACUUACCUUGGCUUCUUACUGCAUUCGCGUAACAGGCAGGCUCCUCGUGGAGUGCAAUGUAAAGCAGGUGGUUAGAGUGUUAGACUAGUUAACCGUAAGGUUGCAAGAUUGAAUCUCCAAGCUGACAAGGUAAAAAUCUGUCGUUCUGCCCCUGAACAAGGCAGUUAACCCACUGUUCCUAGGCCG